rnacentral:tRNA from 1 species
GCCUUCAUGGUGUAGUGGUCAGCACGCUCGACGCGUAACCGAGAGGUCCGUGGUUCGAUUCCCGGCGAAGGCC